GACUACAGUCCCAUACCACCCUGAAAGUGCUCAAUCUGGUCUGAUUUCGGAAGUUAAGCAGGGUCGGGCUUGGUCAGUACUUAGAUGGAAGA
rnacentral:rRNA from 1 species